UCCUGUUAAGUCAGGCAACGAGCGAGACCCACGCCAACAGUUGCCAGCUCGUCCUCCGGGGAUGGUGGGGACGACUGUUGGGACCGCCUCUGCUAAAGAGGAGGAAGGAAUGGGCAACGGUAGGUCAGCAUGCCCCGAAUUAUCUGGGCUACACGCGGGCUACAAUGGGUGGGACAAUGGGUAUCGACACCGAAAGGUGAAGGCAAUCUCCUAAACCCAUCCGUAGUUCGGAUUGUGGGCUGCAACUCGCCCACAUGAAGCUGGAAUCUGUAGUAAUCGUGUCUCAAAAUGGCACGGUGAAUAUGUCCCUGCUCCUU
rnacentral:rRNA from 1 species